UUUAAAUAGCUGCAGUAUUUUGACUGUACAAAGGUAGCAUAAUCAUUUGUCAUUUAAUUGAUGACUAGUAUGAAUGGCAUAAUGAAAAGUGGACUUUCUUUAUCCUACUGGUUGAAUUUAAUUUUUAUGUCAAAAAGCUUGAAUAUAUUUGUUGGACGAGAAGACCCUAUAGAACUUUAUAUUUUUUAUUUUAUUGGUAGAUUGGUUUAUAUUUGAUUAAUAAUAUAAUAGAUAUUGUGUUGGGGUGAUAGAAAAAAACUAAUAACUUUUUCUUUUUUUGGCACUUAUUUGUGGUUAUUAUCCAUGGAUCAUGAUUAUAAGAUUAAGUUACCUUAGGGAUAACAGCGUUAUUAGCUUGGAGAGCUCUUAUCGAUAAGCUAGUUUGCGACCUCGAUGUUGGAUUAAAAUAAGUGAUAGGCGUAGCAUUUU
rnacentral:rRNA from 1 species